rnacentral:rRNA from 1 species
AGACCGGUUUAUUGGUCGUGCUUUUGUACGUACUGGUAUUAUUGGUUUCUCCUUUCUGACGAAUCUUAAUGCCAUUAAUUUGGUGUUUUGGGGAAUCAGGACUGUUACUUUGAAAAAAUUAGAGUGUUUAAAGCAGGCUCACGCUUGAAUACAUUAGCAUGGAAUAACGGAAUAGGACGUUUGAUUCUAUUUUGUUGGUUUCUAGGAUCGACGUAAUGAUUAAUAGGGAUAGUUGG